GAUGAACGCUGGCGGCGUGCCUAAUACAUGCAAGUCGAGCGAACAGACGAGGAGCUUGCUCCUCUGACGUUAGCGGCGGACGGGUGAGUAACACGUGGAUAACCUACCUAUAAGACUGGGAUAACUUUGGGAAACCGGAGCUAAUACCGGAUAAUAUAUUGAACCGCAUGGUUCAAUAGUGAAAGACGGUUUUGCUGUCACUUAUAGAUGGAUCCGCGCCGCAUUAGCUAGUUGGUAAGGUAACGGCUUACCAAGGCGACGAUGCGUAGCCGACCUGAGAGGGGAAUCGGCCACGCUGGAACUGAAACACGGUCCAGACUCCUGAGGGAGGCAGACGUAGGGAAUCUUCCGCAAUGGGCGAAGGCCUGACGAAGCAACGCCGCGUGAGUGAUGAAGGUCUUCGGACCGUAAAACUCUGUUAUUAGGGAAGAACAAAUGUGUAAGUAACUAUGCACGUCUUGACGGUACCUAAUCAGAAAGCCACGGCUAACUACGUG
rnacentral:rRNA from 1 species